UGGGGAAUUUUGGACAAUGGGCGCAAGCCUGAUCCAGCAAUGCCGCGUGCAGGAUGAAGGCCUUCGGGUUGUAAACUGCUUUUGUACGGAACGAAAAGCCUCUCUCUAAUACAGGGGGGUGAUGACGGUACCGUAAGAAUAAGCACCGGCUAACUACGUGCCAGCAGCCGCGGUAAUACGUAGGGUGCAAGCGUUAAUCGGAAUUACUGGGCGUAAAGCGUGCGCAGGCGGUUUUGUAAGACAGUGGUGAAAUCCCCGGGCUCAACCUGGGAACUGCCAUUGUGACUGCAAGGCUGGAGUGCGGCAGAGGGGGAUGGAAUUCCGCGUGUAGCAGUGAAAUGCGUAGAUAUGCGGAGGAACACCGAUGGCGAAGGCAGUCCCCCUGGGCCUGCACUGACGCUCAUGCACGAAAGCGUGGGGAGCAAACAGGAUUAGAUACCCUGGUAGUCCACGCCCUAAAACGAUGUCAACUGGUUGUUGGGGAUUUUAUUUCUUCAGUAACGAAGCUGAACGCGU
rnacentral:rRNA from 1 species